rnacentral:rRNA from 1 species
GACGAACGCUGGCGGCGUGCUUAACACAUUCAAGUCGAACGAUGAAGCCGGAGCUUGCUCCGGUGGAUUAGUGGCGAACGGGUGAGUAACACGUGAGCAAUCUGCCCUUGACUCUGGGAUAACUGCGGGAAACUGUAGCUAAUACCGGAUACGACACCUUGGGGCAUCCCAGGGUGUGGAAAGAAUUUCGGUCAAGGAUGAGCUCGCGGCAUAUCAGCUAGUUGGUGAGGUAAUGGCUCACCAAGGCGACGACGGGUAGCCGGCCUGAGAGGGGGACCGGCCACACUGUAACGGAGACACGGUCAAGACUCCUACGGGAGGCAGCAGUGGGGAAUAUUGCACAAUGGGCGAAAGCCUGAUGCAGCAACGCCGCGUGAGGGAUGAAGGCCUUCGGGUUGUAAACCUCUUUUAGCAGGGAAGAAGCGAAAGUGACGGUACCUGCAGAAAAAGCACCGGCUAACUACGUGCCAGCCGCCGCGGUAA